rnacentral:rRNA from 1 species
AUUGAACGCUGGCGGCAUGCCUUACACAUGCAAGUCGAACGGUAACGGGCCUUCGGGUGCCGACGAGUGGCGAACGGGUGAGUAAUGCAUCGGAACGUACCCAUUAGUGGGGGAUAACUCUCCGAAAGGAGGGCUAAUACCGCAUAUUCUGUGAGCAGGAAAGCAGGGGAUCGCAAGACCUUGCGCUGAUGGAGCGGCCGAUGUCAGAUUAGCUAGUUGGUGAGGUAAAGGCUCACCAAGGCGACGAUCUGUAGCGGGUCUGAGAGGAUGAUCCGCCACACUGGAACUGAGACACGGUCCAGACUCCUACGGGAGGCAGCAGUGGGGAAUUUUGGACAAUGGGGGCAACCCUGAUCCAGCCAUGCCGCGUGAGUGAAGAAGGCCUUCGGGUUGUAAAGCUCUUUCGGCCGGGAAGAAAUCGCAUGGGUUAAUACCCUGUGUGGAUGACGGUACCGGAAUAAGAAGCACCGGCUAACUACGUGCCAGCCGCCGCCGUAA